AAUGAACGCUGGCGGCGCGCCUAAUACAUGCAAGUCGAGCGAGAAGACGUAGCAAUACGUUUGUAAAGCGGCGAACGGGUGAGGAAUACAUGGGUAACCUACCCUCGAGUGGGGAAUAACUAGCCGAAAGGUUAGCUAAUACCGCGUACGCUUCUUGGACUUCGGUUCAGGGAGGAAAGCGAUGCCGAGGGUAUCGCGCUCUUGGAUGGGCUCAUGUCCUAUCAGCUUGUUGGGAGGUAACGGCUCACCAAGGCUUCGACGGGUAGCUGGUCUGAGAGGACGAUCAGCCACACUGGCACUGCGACACGGGCCAGACUCCUACGGGAGGCAGCAGUAAGGAAUAUUGCGCAAUGGGCGAAAGCCUGACGCAGCGACGCCGCGUGGGGGAUGAAGGUCUUCGGAUUGUAAACCCCUUUCGGGA
rnacentral:rRNA from 1 species